CUCACACGAUGAACAACAGUUUUCUCUCUCUCUUGGACACGGUUAUCUCAGCAUACCGAUUUUUUCUUUCUAUCUCUCUCAGACUCUCACACGCUUCAAUACCAAUUUUAUCUCUUUCUUUCUCUUUCUCACGGUUACAAUAGAGCAACGAUUAUUACUCAAAAAUCAAUUUGCUCUCCAUCCAUUUAUGCAUCAGUAUGCAGUUGUUUGCCAAUUGAAGCAUAUUUAAUAAUGGGAGAAGAAGUAUAGAUAAAGAGUACGAGCCCAGAUCUGAGAGCGACAAUAUGGAUGAUGCAUUUGGGAAUUAUUAAGAUGACAAACCACUGAGGAAGAAGAGAUCUAUCAGAGCGGCCCUUACAAUAUUUGGUCUAUUUUGCAGGUCAUUGAUAAGUUGAUAGGGGUUGUCCCAAAUUUUAAGCCAAAUGUCAACCAAUCAGUUGGUUGUUUCCAGCAAAUAAAUGAGGGGAAAGUUCGAACUCAAGAGAUGACAAGAGAUGGAGAAAUUUUGAGGCGUGAAGUUUCUCAAGAAAUUGAAAGUGUGAUGUUUAUGUCGGAAUCCCUGAUGUUGGGAGGUUAAUAAUGGACAAACUUCUGAGGCUUUUGACAUUUCCGUUGAUUCUCCCAUCAUUUAGGAAUGAAGCAAUCAAAGUACAUACUCACCAUUUCUAUUUGUUUGCCUAUUUUAUGUGUGUGUUUUAAUUUUCUACACUUCUGGAAAUUGUAACGAGCUCUUUAUAUUUGGUUAAUUAAUGGUUUUAUGGGUCUGUAUAAAUCUUUUUGUGACUAUCUGAGUCGUAUACAUUCAGGAACCAAGUUUUGGGGUUGUCUUUUCUUUAUAUUUACUUUGUUGCAUUUUGUGCAUAGUCAAAAUCAAAGAUCUGGCAAACAUUGUUGUUGCUGCUCUUCUAUGUUAUCCAGACGUUUUUCCUGAGAGUUCUGAAGCUAAGCUCAAUGGUAAUCUGUUGAGCCAUGCUUCCUUGGAUGUACCAACCCACGAUAAAGAUGCAAACAAUCAAAAUGUCAAAUCUGAUACUGAAAAUCAUCUACUGCACAGUGCCUUCAAUCAUAACUAUGGCAGCAUGAGAUUUGAUGACUUUGUCCCAUAUCUAUUUAUGCUUCUACAAGUUUUACAAGUCUUGGUUUCAUUACCAAUUCAUGUGGAUUAUAUUUUGGCUACUAGGAUUGAGAAACAUGUCUAGAAUAAUUUUUGGAAUAAUACAUGUAUUUUAGAAUAGAUGAGUAUAUAUUAUGAUGUUAUUGGGAUAUGGUUAAAAUAUGGACGUGGUUAAAAUACGAUGAAGGCUAAACUACUAUUUUCUUUAAGUUUUGAUCGUUUGCAUUGUUACCAACUAAUCUUUCUAAAAUCAAAUUAUAAAGAUAUCAAUUGUUUUACGGUUUGCAUAUUUUUUUUCUUCCAAUUGUUAUUAGUGUUGUUAUUCAUAUGAUCAAUAUGAUAUUGUGCCUCUUUUGGUAUGUUAUUCUAGAUUGGGCUGUAAAGCUAUAAUUAACAAAGUUGUGGAGCAAGAUAAAGAGGCAGAGCGAAUGCGGUAGAGCAUGAAGGACACGAAGUUGAAGAAGAGGGAAUGAAAGAGCAAUGCGAAAAAGACAAUGUGCAUUACUAGAAAAUAGUUAGAGAAUCUUCUAUGUAUUUCGUAAUUUUUAAAUCUUUGCAAGUCCACAUUUUGGACGCGUGGAAAACUGUUGACAUUUUUUCUGUAUCUCUAAUGAGAAAUAGAUUAAAUAUAAGAACAUUUGAGUAGAUUUAAUUAGUGGAAAUACUUUAAAUAUACUUUAUUCUAA